rnacentral:rRNA from 1 species
UAGCUAGUUGGUGGGGUAAGGGCCUACCAAGGCGACGAUCGGUAGCUGGUCUGAGAGGAUGACCAGCCACACUGGAACUGAGACACGGUCCAGACUCCUACGGGAGGCAGCAGUGGGGAAUAUUGGACAAUGGGGGCAACCCUGAUCCAGCAAUGCCGCGUGUGUGAAGAAGGCCUGAGGGUUGUAAGGCACUUUCAGUGGGGAGGAGGGUUGAUAGGUUAAGAGCUAAUUAACUGGACGUUACCCACAGAAGAAGCACCGGCUAACUCCGUGCCAGCAGCCGCGGUAAUACGGAGGGUGCGAGCGUUAAUCGGAAUUACUGGGCGUAAAGGGUGCGUAGGUGGUUGAUUAAGUUAUCUGUGAAAUUCCUGGGCUUAACCUGGGACGGUCAGAUAAUACUGGUUGACUCGAGUAUGGGAGAGGGUAGUGGAAUUUCCGGUGUAGCGGUGAAAUGCGUAGAGAUCGGAAGGAACACCAGUGGCGAAGGCGGCUACCUGGCCUAAUACUGACACUGAGGCACGAAAGCGUGGGGAGCAAACAGGAUUAGAUACCCUGGUAGUCCACGCUGUAAACGAUGUCAACUAGCUGUUGGUUAUAUGAAAAUAAUUAGUGGCGC